rnacentral:rRNA from 1 species
CCUACGGGAGGCAGCAGUAGGGAAUAUUGGUCAAUGGGCGAAAGCCUGAACCAGCAACGCCGCGUGCGCGAUGAAGGCCUUCGGGUCGUAAAGCGCUUUUGGGAGGGAUGAAAAUGACAGUACCUCCCGAAUAAGGAUCGGCUAACUACGUGCCAGCAGCCGCGGUAAGACGUAGGAUCCAAGCGUUAUCCGGAAUUACUGGGCGUAAAGGGCGUGUAGGAGGUUGGGCAAGUCGGCCAUGAAAGCUCCCGGCUCAACUGGGAGAGGCUGGUCGAUACUGCCUGGCUAGAGGGCAAGAGAGGGAGGUGGAAUUCCCGGUGUAGUGGUGAAAUGCGUAGAUAUCGGGAGGAACACCAGUGGCGAAGGCGGCCUCCUGGCUUGUACCUGACUCUGAAACGCGAAAGCAUGGGUAGCAAACAGGAUUAGAAACCCUGGUAGUCCAUGCCAUAAACGAUGUCAACUGGGUGUCGGCGAAGUAAAAUUUGUCGGUGCCGAAGCUAACGCGUUAAGUUGACCGCCUGAGGACUACGAUCGCAAGAUUAAAACUAGAAAGUAUAGACGNAGAGAGCGACGAGCACAGGAGGUAGAG